rnacentral:lncRNA from 1 species
AUUUAAAGAAGGAUGUGCCUUUAUCUUUAAGGAGAGGCAUGCCAGGCUUGUUCCAGCAAGGAUAAAGCCUGGUUAAUAUUGAAGCUGCAUUACUGAAAGCUUUUUAUGUAGCUUUGCCUGUGAACUGCAUCCUGCAAAGGGCAUCUGCAGCUUUUGUGUACACUUGUACACCGUUGCAUCAAGCUGAAAGCAUCUUCCAAGUGAAAAGAUAUCCUGUUUUCCUCUUGGUUUACAAAGAAAACUCAGUGUCAAGGGAACUGAAGACUGGGAUGUGCUGGGCUAAUAUAAAUUUGACCGAAGCCAAGAAUGCCCCUGGUUUGGCUCUGGAAAGAGUACUAAGCAGCCAAGGACAUUUGGAUAGCCAAAUCCAACCCAGUGCGGUCCUCUGCUGAGCCUGUUCCCUGCUUCUGUGACAUCAGUGCUGACUCCAGCGAGUAAAUCUGAGAAAGAAGGUACUAUUUAAUAUUUUAUUACUCUCUGAAAGAUGAUGUAUAUUGUUUUUGUUAUUUUACCAUUCUUAACGAAUAAGGUUUAAGCAAGUUAUUAACGAGAAAAAGGUUCAACUAAAAAGAUGAUAGAGGAUAUACUUUUUGUCCAUUCCAGUUUCACCUAUAUCAGGCUUUGUACAAAGAUA